CUCACCAGUGGGCUGGGGGACCCAGUGACCCUUCUGGCUGCUAGAGUCUGCUGACCAUGAUUCACAAGCCAGUGUGGGAGGCAGCAGAGGAGUCAGCUGAUGGUGACACUUCAGGAUCUGGCCUUCUUUUUCUGAUCAUUAGCAACUAUGUUGGGAAUAAGACAGGGCCCCGUUUAGCUAAUCAGAACUUCCAGGGCUAGAUAUGGAGAGAAGCUAGAAAGGAGAUGGGAAGGUACCAGCCUGUGCUAGGUGAUUUACACAAAUUAUUUUGCUUCCCACUGUGACAUUAUGGGUUUGAACUACUAAUUGUAGUAAUCAUAAUAACAGCUAGCAUUAAUUGAGGAUUUACUUUGUGCCAGUCCCUUCCUUAAAGGACUUUAUAUUCAUUAUCUCAAGCUAACUUAUAUAACAAUUAUAUGGCAUAGAUACCAUCGUUAUCCUCAUUUUUCUGGUUAAAAAAUUGGGUCAGGUUUUGGGUCAGGGCACAGAGAGAGGGCACUUGCCCAUCUCACAGCUUUUAAGUGGCAGAGUUGGGACUUGAACCUACUUCAUCUGAUGCCAGAGCCUGCAGAACGCAGAUGCCUUGAUGUCCUAUCCUUCAGCACAUACAAAACAGAACAAGCAAACACAUUAGAAUGAACGUGGAAUGGAUACGAAAGACCCUAUCUACCCUGAGAGUCAACUUUGAGUGCAACUUUGAGUCAAAGACCACGGAGGAGAUGCAUGGAGUAUUAGCCUGGCUGGACCAGUCUGAGAUGCCCAGGUUGAAGACCUUAAGAACAUCCCAUGGGCUUUGGCCAUUUGUAUUUAGCCAAACUCUUGGGCUUUGGUUCAGCAUUCUGUGAGUUUGAAAUCUACACCAAACCCUGUGCCAGAUGAAGGAACACAGAGAUGAAGAAUAUAAGGCUGUUGCCUUCAAGAAGAUCACAGAUAUGGCAAAGGUGGAGCUCCAGCAGGCACUGACCAUGUUCAGCAUUAAAUAGCAACCAAAAGGAACUGCUCCCCUGUGCCCAGACAGCCAAAGGAGAACUCAUGAAGGCCCAGAAUAUCAGAGAUAAUUCUGAUUCUGGCAUAAGAAGCUGGAAGAUAAGAGGUCUUUGUUAGUUCCUCCUUCAUGGGUACAAUGAGGUAUUCAUGCUAUUCCCCUCGGGACUUGGGAAGUCUUUUAGGCCCAAGAAAGGUCUGUGCGUCAUCAUAAUUGUGUAAUAUGGCUGCCCUCUUUCCGCCCCACCCCUUGACAUAUCCUGGUCAGGCAAGUUAAAGUUCUGUUGAUGCGCUAACUGUUGUGGCCACCAUCAAUCACACUUCCUUCAGUGGUCUUUGAUAUGGCCUUCCAAAGAGCUGGAAAUCUGGGGACCACUUCCUUCCAUCGAUCUCACCCCCUAUUUUCUGCCACCAUGUAAAGGGAUUGAUUCCAUUUAAAGGCAUUGUGACGUGAGGACAAGGCACAGCCUCAGAAGUUUAACUGCCCUGAGUCUGAAUCACUUACCAGCCAUGAAGGCUUGGACAAUUUUCUUAACCUCAGAACCUCAGGAUUUUGUUUUGUCUUGUUUUUGUCCAAUGUGGAAAAUAAGACUUAUGGAACAGCUUCAUAGAGUUGAUAUCCAGAUUAAAUGGAACAGCAUAGGUAAAAUCCCCAGCACUUUACUGACACCUAGCCGAUGCCCAAUAAAUAUAGUUGCCAUUUAUCGGUUCUAGGCAGGUUUGGUGAAAUAAAUGGACAUAUCGAGCCCCACGUUGGGCUCUGUGCUGACAACAUGGAGCCUGCUUGAUAUUCUGUCUCCCUCCCUUGGUAUUCUGCCCCUCCCCCACUUGCCCUCUAUAUCUCUAUCAAAAUAAAUAAAAAUAAAACUUAAAAAAAAAGAGAGAAAGAAAGAAAGAAAGAAAGAAAGAGAGAGACGUGGUCCCCACCUUUGAGAAACUUAGGGUCUUUUCUCCAUAUUUAUGACUCUCUUCUGUUUUGUCCCCCUCCCUGUGUUUAUAUUAUUUUUGUUUCCCUUCCUUUAUGUUCAUCUGUUUUGUCUCUUAAAGUCCUCAUAUGAGUGAAGUCAUAUGAUUUUUGUCUUUCUCUGACUGACUAAUUUCACUUAGCAUAAUACCCUCCAGUUCCAUCCAUGUAGUUGCAAAUGGCAAGGUUUCAUUCUUUUUGAUUGGGCUAAAUGGGUAAGGGGCGCUAAGGAAUCUACUCCUGAAAUCAUUGUUGCACUAUAUGCUAACUAAUCUGGAUGUAAGUUUUAAAAAAUAAAAAAUUAAAUUAAAAAAAAGAAACUUAGGGUCGUUAUCAUAAAGAUAGGUGGUUCCUUAUCAUAAAUAUGAGUGAUUAGGCCCACCUGUGUGAAACAUCCCCAUCUGUAAAUUGGGCAAUAAGAUGUACCUC